CGGCGCGUAGCUCAUACAGAUAAGAGCAUCGGGCUUGGGACCCGAGGGGAGCAGGUUCAACUCCUGCCGCGCCGG
rnacentral:tRNA from 1 species